AUUGAACGCUGGCGGCAGGCUUAACACAUGCAAGUCGAGCGGUAACAGAGAGAAGCUUGCUUCUCUGCUGACGAGCGGCGGACGGGUGAGUAAUGCCUAGGAAUCCGCCUAGUAGUGGGGGAUAACUUGCCGAAAGGUAAGCUAAUACCGCAUACGUCCUACGGGAGAAUGGAGGGGACCUUCGGGCCUUUCGCUAUUAGGUGAGCGCAGGUCGGAUUAGUUAGUUGGUGAAGGAAUGGCUCACCAAGACCGCGAUCCGUAACUGGUCUGCGAGGAUGAUCAGUCACACUGGAACUGAGACACGGUCCAGGCUCCUACGGGAGGCAGCAGUGGGGAAUAUUGGACAAUGGGGGAACCCUGAUCCAGCCAUGCCGCGUGUGUGAAGAAGGUCUUAGGAUUGUAAAGCACUUUAAGUUGGGAGGAAGAGCAGUUAACUAAUAUUUGACUGUUUUGACGUUACCGACAGAAUAAGCACCGGCUAACUUCGUGCCAGCCGCCGCAGUAA
rnacentral:rRNA from 1 species